CCUACGGGGGGCAGCAGUGAGGAAUAUUGGUCAAUGGACGAGAGUCUGAACCAGCCAAGUAGCGUGAAGGAUGACUGCCCUAUGGGUUGUAAACUUCUUUUAUAUGGGAAUAAAACGUUCCACGUGUGGGAUUUUGUAUGUACCAUAUGAAUAAGGAUCGGCUAACUCCGUGCCAGCAGCCGCGGUAAUACGGAGGAUCCGAGCGUUAUCCGGAUUUAUUGGGUUUAAAGGGAGCGUAGGUGGAUUGUUAAGUCAGUUGUGAAAGUUUGCGGCUCAACCGUAAAAUUGCAGUUGAAACUGGCAGUCUUGAGUACAGUAGAGGUGGGCGGAAUUCGUGGUGUAGCGGUGAAAUGCUUAGAUAUCACGAAGAACUCCGAUUGCGAAGGCAGUUCACUGGACUGCAACUGACACUGAGGCUCGAAAGUGUGGGUAUCAAACAGGAUUAGAUACCCUUGUAGUU
rnacentral:rRNA from 1 species